UACGAAGGGGGCUAGCGUUGCUCGGAAUCACUGGGCGUAAAGCGCACGUAGGCGGGUCCUUAAGUCAGGGGUGAAAUCCCGGAGCUCAACUCCGGAACUGCCUUUGAUACUGGGGAUCUUGAGUCCGGAAGAGGUGAGUGGAACUCCGAGUGUAGAGGUGAAAUUCGUAGAUAUUCGGAAGAACACCAGUGGCGAAGGCGGCUCACUGGACUGGUAUUGACGCUGAGGUGCGAAAGCGUGGGGAGCAAACAGG
rnacentral:rRNA from 1 species